GAGAGUGAGGGAGCCAGAGAAAAGGAAGUGUGGCUGAAGACACCCUCAAGCCACUGGAAAGGGAGCCCUAAGGCCCCUCCUCCUCUAUGGGCUGUGGUACCUCUACAGCUCUCCCAUACUACGGAACCCUGGCUCACCGUACCUUCGUGGGCUGUUCCAAGAGGAAGUGUUUUGAUGAUGAUGAUGCAUCACAGUUCCUGGAACAAGAACAGCAGUUAAGGGAUGAAGAUGGAGCAGAACAGAGAACUGUUUGAGCAGCUGCUGGCUCUAAUGGUCAUAAGAGUGCAGGCUCCUGCUGCACCCACACCGUGGACUGUCACCUCUACAGUAUCCAGGCGUGCAGUCCAGGAACAGCUUGGACAACUCCAUGGCUGGGUGACCCAUGCAAUUAGGCCCUCUGAGUGACUGGACUGGGCAAAUAUGCCCCAUGCAGUCCUUAGUGCUGAACCCCUCCCCCAUGGACACUUCCACCCCUCUGCCCCAGCACCAACUGUGUGGCAAAUUUGAAAGAGAGGGAGAGGAGAACAGGGGGCCAGGAGACAUGCAGUAGUGUGUGUGUGUUGUGCAUAGUUGUUUAUGUACUUUGUUCUUGGUUACUUUUAAAGGUUUUGGGGUGUUAAGGGCAGUGGGCCUUCCAGGCAAUGGUUUAAUACUGUACUUUCCCAAUACAUGGGUAAAAAUAAAGGUUUCUAUUUUGUAAAGAAA